rnacentral:miRNA from 3 species
UUUGUACUACACAUAGGUACUGG